UGGGGAAUAUUGCACAAUGGGGGGAACCCUGAUGCAGCAAUGCCGCGUGGGUGAAGAAGCACUCCGGUGCGUAAAGCCCUGUCAGCAGGGAAGAAAAUGACAGUACCUGGACAAGAAGCCCCGGCUAACUACGUGCCAGCAGCCGCGGUAAUACGUAGGGGGCAAGCGUUAUCCGGAUUUACUGGGUGUAAAGGGAGCGCAGGUGGCGUGGCAAGUCAGAUGUGAAAACCCGGGGCCCAACCCCGGGAGUGCAUUUGAAACUGCCAUGCUGGAGUGCCGGAGAGGUAAGCGGAAUUCCUAGUG
rnacentral:rRNA from 1 species